UACAGAGACCUCAAGCGUUAUCCGGAAUGAUUGGGCGUAAAGCGUCUGUAGGUGGCUUUUUAAGUCCGCCGUCAAAUCCCAGGGCUCAACCCUGGACAGGCGGUGGAAACUACCAAGCUGGAGUACGGUAGGGGCAGAGGGAAUUUCCGGUGGAGCGGUGAAAUGUGUUGAUAUCGGAAGGAACGCCAGAGGCGAAAGCGGCACACUGGGUCUCAACUGACGCUGAGGCACGAAAGCCAGGGGAGCAAACGGG
rnacentral:rRNA from 1 species